rnacentral:ncRNA from 1 species
AUAUAUCUCAAUGUGGGAAACCUCACCCGGCCCGGACACGGACAGGAUUGACAGAUUGAGAGCUCUUUCUCGAUUCCGUGGGUGGUGGUGCAUGGCCGUUCUUAGUUGGUGGAGCGAUUUGUCUGGUUAAUUCCGAUAACGAACGAGACUCAGACCUGCCAGGGUGCUCUCAAGGGAGCCUGCAAUGUCUGGUGUCUGUUAAGGCUGUUCUUCCUUUAUUCCUCAUUAAUAGAGGUUUUUGUUUGUUUGAUGGUGAAGUUGAAAUUGUUGUCCUACCAUCCCUUGUGCC